UUUCUGUGAGAUGGAAGUUUGGUUUAUAUAAUUAAGCUAGCAUCGAUCAAGGCUUAACCAAAAUCAAUCACUCUGAACUGAUCUUUGACUUUCUAGCUAGUUAACUGGUUCUGGUCAUUUCCAAAAAGAGUAGAAAGAAAGAUCUCUAUCUUCAUUUGCUUGCUGCCUGCAACAUCUUGGAUUUGGUUUAAGCAUCAAGACUUAAGCAAAUUCCAAAAGGAGUAGAAAGAAAGAUCUCUGCUUAUCUAAAAAAAAAAAAAAAGAAAGAAAGAUCUCCAUCUUGAUUUGGUGCCAGCUGCCUGCAACAUUGAUCUUGGAUUAGAAGAUAGAAGAAACAAAGUCGUUCAUUGACGUCCUAUCUCAAGAUUUGGGUCUUCAUUAUGGAGUCGAAGCCACAUCUAGACGAUGUACGAUAUGCAAAGUUUUGGAGCCUGCAACUUGAUGAUGAUUUUCAAAAUGGUACAUCAAAUUUGACGAUGGAGCAGGAAUCCAAGACUUGUUUUUAUCUACAAGUCGUACGUGAAUAUGUGGAGCUGAGUUUCAAGUCAAAGGAAGACUGUACAAUUGAUAAAGAUUCAAUUUGGUCACAUCCAAAUGAAAAAUUUGAUGAAGUUUUGGAGUGGAUAAAAGAAGUGGAUAAAUUCAUGGGUAAGGCCACAAAGGAAAUGUGCGAAAUAAGUCUUGAGACUGAUUCGUAUUGGUGCAAGAAGAUAAUAUCAAGAAUAAGAGAUCUACGUGCCAAACGUGGCCCCAAUUUUACUUUCCAAAUAGUAAGCUCAUCUGAGGUGAUAACACCACUUUCCUCACGUGAAAAGCUCUUCUGUGAACUAAUGUUGCUGGGUCACAUACGUUUAGCUGUGGUGCAUGCUCUUGAAAUAUCAAAGGAUGAUGAUGAUAAAUUUAAUGAAUAUCUUCAGGAGUGGAAAGAUGAAGUGGAUGAUUUCUUGUCUGGGUUGAACGAGCAUUUUAAAGUUGAAUUUGAUCCUGAGACUAAUUCUGGUUGGUACAGUAAGAAGAUAGCAAAAGCAAGGACCUUAAUUGCCAAAUGUGAACCAGCACUUUCUCUCCAAUUUCAAGAUGUGGGAUCUGCUUCCUCAAUGAAUAUUAUGUUUCAUGAAAAACUCUGCUAUGAAAUAAGGUUGUUGAUUAAUUUGAAAUUUGUUGACAUAAAGGCUGCUCGUGAUAUGCCAAUCAAUGAUCAUGAUCUACAAAUCCUUUUCAAGAAAAGACUUCAGGAGUAGAUAAAUGAAGUGAAUAAAUUCUUAACAGAGAUCAGCCUGCAAUUUGGAGAAAAGAAUCUUGACAAGAGUUCCAAUUGGUACCAAAACAAGAUAGCAGAAUCAAGGACGUUAAUUGCCAAACGUUAUUCAGCAUUUCCCCUCCGCUGUGAAGAUGUGGGAUAUACAAAGAAGCAAUAUCAUAUUUUUCUCAGUUUUGAAGGAAAAGAUACUCAAUGUCUUCAUGGACGAUCAAGGGUUAGAGAGAGAGGGCUCUAUUUCACAAGUUCUAAUCGGGGCAAUUGAAAACUCACAACUUUCAAUUAUUAUUUUCUCGAAAAACUUUGCAAAUUCUACCGGGUGUUUGGAUGAAGUUGUUAAGAUUCUUGAGUGUAAAAAGGAGAAAAAUCAGCUAGUUUGGCCUGUCUUUUAUAAAGUGGAGCCCUCCGACGUGAGGUAUCAAAAUAAAAAUUAUAGAGAGGCUAUGGCCAAACAUGAAACAAGAUUUGGAAAAGAGAUGGUGAAGAACUGGAGAUCAGCUUUGCACGAAGUCAGUGGCUUCAAUGCUUUCCCAUACAAGAAAGACAGUGGGUAUGAAAGUGAUUUUAUUCAAAGUAUCGUAAAAGCUGCCACCAAAAUUAGAGAUGGUUCGUAAGCAUGGAUAUGGUGACAAUAAGAAAGACUGCAUCUUCAGAGUGUUUGCUCUCAACUGUUGGUGUUGGAUUGAAGUUGUUUUGUAUUGAUUCACUGAGAGGGGCAGAGUUUCCUGAGCGUAAUGGAGGUGCGUCUGGUCUGGCUCAAUUCCUGGCCCUGCCACGAUUGAAAACCCGGUCUGCGAUUAAUCUCGUGCUUCCACCGAUACCUCGCUUCCCCUG